rnacentral:sRNA from 1 species
ACACCGGAUGGGAGUUUUGUCGCUGUGUCCCAUUAUUGUGCGUCGAAGAAGAGCGACGGCAGAUGUACAAACGGUGA